rnacentral:misc_RNA from 1 species
AGGUGCGGCUGGAUCACCUCCUUUCUAAGGAGCACCGAUACCGUAAAGGUUCCCCCGCCCCCGCAAUCGUGUGGGAUCUGGUGGUUGGGAGAGGUGCCAGGGUUCUGUAGUGGGAUUCUGGUGGGUGCACAACAAACAUUGAGGCACGUCCCGGUUUCGGGGGUGUCGCCUGGUCUACGGGAACGUGGGGCUGGGGUCGCUGAACACACUGUUGGGUCCUGAGGCAACAGGCCCGCAGGCUCGCCCCCUGUUUUUUUGGGUGUGGUGGGUGCUGGUCCCUGACUGUUGGUUGGGGGUUCUGAUUGUCGCCCUGCUUGGUGGUGGGGUGUGGUGUUUGAUUUGUGGAUAGUGGUUGCGAGCAUCAAGCCGCACGAUGUGGCCGGCUCUGGCGGGGCUGUCUCUCUUUGUGGGGGAUGGUUUUUCGUCAGUGUUGGUUGGUGUGGUUUGUUGUAGUGUGAUUCUUUUUUCUCAUUUUUCUUGGUUUGUUUUGUGUUGUAAGUGUUUA